rnacentral:lncRNA from 1 species
CGGAGCCGCAGCCGCCAUGGCCCAGGGGGGAAGCAGCCUCUGUCUCUGGAAAUCGUGGGCCACCUGGAAAUGGACCAUUGCACAUGCUUGCACUGCCCGUGCAGCAAGCUAGAGGGGUGGGACGGCGCCCGCUCUCUGGGAACCAGCUCUCCGGUGUGGCAGACACAGCGUAUCCAUGUAAGGGGGUCAGCAACUCUCCUAGGAGACGCGGCAGAUUCAAACCCUCUGCAUGCUGAGCCUGGAUGGCAGGGGCAGGGCGCUCCCAGCGUGGCCAAAGAUGAACCACCUGUCUCCUCUCCAUCGUCUCUGGAGGGCAGCGAGUCCAGGGCCUCCGACUGGUCUGCGGGAGAAAGCGCUCGCGCAGCCUCUCGCCCAGCGCCCGAGGGGCCCUCGCUGGCACGGGAGCAUCUUGCUCCUCCGCGGGCCGCGGCACACCGGCUGGACAUCCACCUGGCGCAGAAGGCCCUGGGCUCCUUCAUCCUGCCGCCCUGCGUCAUACACUCCCAGGCCGUCUAUGCCGACAUGGCAGCUGAGCGGCUGAGAGCCGCUGCCCAGGAACACCGGCGGAAAAUGAACAUCCGGCUGCAGCGCAGGAGGAGCCGGAAAAGCCAACUGGGAGGGCCCCGUCAGGAAGCCCUGGGAGAAAGAGCCCGCCCCGCGGGCACAGGAGAGCCGGGAUUCCUGACAGCUGGAACAAACGUGAGGCAGACAGAGGCCCUGGUGCUGACUGAGGCACCUCCCAGGGCUGAACAGCCACCCCGUGCUCCUCCAGGGAGAGGGGCCAAGUCACCGUUCGUCCCCUGCAAGGGGAAGGGCCCCACCUUCAGGGGAAUCAUACUGGGCUUCCUUGAACGUGUCACUUCCAGGGCAUCAGUAGGGGAGAGAGGACAGGUCGACAGGUCGGUGGCUGCACCGCGUGGAGCCCCGCCACCCCCUCGGAAACUCACCCCGUCCCCCAAGAGCGUGAAGCUGUCCCCGUCACUCAACAGAGGAAAUGCCACCGAGGACACAUCCGGGACAGUCGGAGCGUCUAACCUGGAGCGCCGUGGACACCGGGCCGGGGUGGAAACUGAGCUUCCGCAGCCAGGGUCACGUCUUGGCAAGAGCGCAGGCCACGUGUGCUGGUUCCAUCAGCGUCAUGCUCAUGCCCACCUUCGCCAGGUACACGGCAGAACGCCAGCGCUGCGCGGAGAGAACCUGUGUGCCCUGCGGGAGAGGAUGCAGGUCCGGAGGAGGAAGCUGUCCCCGUCCCUCAACAGCGCCGCCUCCGAAGAGGAGAGCCGCCUCCGGGCCUUGGAUGAGAGUUAGGACUGGUUCGCUAAUAAACCUCUAUUUUGUGUGCA